rnacentral:rRNA from 1 species
GACGAACGCUGGCGGCGUGCUUAACACAUGCAAGUCGAACGAUGAAGCCUAGCUUGCUAGGUGGAUUAGUGGCGAACGGGUGAGUAAUACGUGAGUAACCUACCUUUAACUCUGGGAUAAGCCUGGGAAACUGGGUCUAAUACUGGAUACGACCAAUCUCCGCAUGGGGUGUUGGUGGAAAGCGUUAUGUAGUGGUUAUAGAUGGGCUCACGGCCUAUCAGCUUGUUGGUGAGGUAACGGCUCACCAAGGCGACGACGGGUAGCCGGCCUGAGAGGGUGACCGGCCACACUGGGACUGAGACACGGCCCAGACUCCUACGGGAGGCAGCAGUGGGGAAUAUUGCACAAUGGGCGCAAGCCUGAUGCAGCGACGCCGCGUGAGGGAUGACGGCCUUCGGGUUGUAAACCUCUGUUAGCAGGGAAGAAGAGAAAUUGACGGUACCUGCAGAGAAAGCGCCGGCUAACUACGUG